CUUCGGAUUACUUGUGAAAACGAGUCCGGAAAAUGGUACCUUAGUAAACUGCGAAUCAAAAUCAAAUUUUAAGCAAAUUUUAUUGUUAAUGUUCUACAACCAAAGCUUGCCAGGAUUUAAAUGUUAAGAGUACUAUUUUGAAUUUAUAAAAAAAAGCUGCAAAAUUCAUAACUUGUUUGCAAAUAUCUUAAGGCCAAACCCAAUACGAAUCCUUAUACCAGUAAGGAUCAUAGCGAAUGGAAUCAGAAUGCUUUCCCCUUUAAGCAGCUGUGAAGGACUUCAUUUUUUAGUCCAACAGCCGACGCUCAUUUCGAAGGCUGAAAAUAUUUGUAAUUAAAAUGAAUUUCGCAUAAUAAAGUGCACCAGUGGAAGUGU